AGUGAACGCUGGCGGUAGGCCUAACACAUGCGAGUCGAACGGCAGCACAGUAAGAGCUUGCUCUUACGGGUGGCGAGUGGCGGACGGGUGAGGAAUACAUCGGAAUCUACUUUUUCGUGGGGGAUAACGUAGGGAAACUUACGCUAAUACCGCAUACGACCUACGGGUGAAAGCAGGGGAUCUUCGGACCUUGCGCGAUUGAAUGAGCCGAUGUCGGAUUAGCUAGUUGGCGGGGUAAAGGCCCACCAAGGCGACGAUCCGUAGCUGGUCUGAGAGGAUGAUCGGCCACACUGGAACUGAGACACGGUCCAGACUCCUACGGGAGGCAGCAGUGGGGAAUAUUGGGCAAUGGGCGCAAGCCUGAUCCAGCAAUACCGCGUGAGUGAAGAAGGCCUUCGGGUUGUAAAGCCCUUUUGUUGGGAAAGAAAAGCAGAAGGUUAAUACCCCGCUGUUCUGACGGUACCCAAAGAAUAAGCACCGGCUAACUUCGUG
rnacentral:rRNA from 1 species